UACAGAGGGUGCAAGCGUUAAUCGGAAUUACUGGGCGUAAAGAGCACGUAGGUGGGUAUUUAAGUCGAAUGUGAAACCCCCGAGCUUAACUUGGGGACUGCAUGCGAUACUGAAUACCUAGAGUAUAGUAGAGGGAAGUGGAAUUUCCGGAGUAGCGGUGAAAUGCGUAGAUAUCGGAAAGAACACCAACGGCGAAAGCACUCUGCUGGGCCGACACUGACACUGAGAGACGAAAGCUAGGGGAGCGAAUGGG
rnacentral:rRNA from 1 species